UACGGAGGGUGCAAGCGUUAAUCGGAAUUACUGGGCGUAAAGCGCGCGUAGGCGGCUUGUUAAGUCGGGUGUGAAAGCCCCGGGCUCAACCUGGGAAUUGCAUUCGAUACUGUCAAGCUGGAGUCUGGUAGAGGGUAGUGGAAUUCCCGGUGUAGCGGUGAAAUGCGUAGAUAUCGGGAGGAACAUCAGUGGCGAAGGCGGCUACCUGGACCAAGACUGACGCUGAGGUGCGAAAGCGUGGGGAGCAAACAGG
rnacentral:rRNA from 1 species